GAUGAACGCUGGUGGCGUGCCUAAUACAUGCAAGUCGAGCGAACGGACGAGAAGCUUGCUUUUCUGAUGUUAGCGGCGGACGGGUGAGUAACACGUGGAUAACCUACCUAUAAGACUGGGAUAACUUCGGGAAACCGGAGCUAAUACCGGAUAAUAUUUUGAACCGCAUGGUUCAAAAGUGAAAGACGGUCUUGCUGUCACUUAUAGAUGGAUCCGCGCUGCAUUAGCUAGUUGGUAAGGUAACGGCUUACCAAGGCAACGAUGCAUAGCCGACCUGAGAGGGUGAUCGGCCACACUGGAACUGAGACACGGUCCAGACUCCUACGGGAGGCAGCAGUAGGGGAUCUUCCGCAAUGGGCGAAAGCCUGACGGAGCAACGCCGCGUGAGUGAUGAAGGUCUUCGGAUCGUAAAACUCUGUUAUUAGGGAAGAACAUAUGUGUAAGUAACUGUGCACAUCUUGACGGUACCUAAUCAGAAAGCCACGGCUAACUACGUG
rnacentral:rRNA from 1 species